AUUGAACGCUGGCGGCAUGCUUUACACAUGCAAGUCGAACGGCAGCGCGGGCUUCGGCCUGGCGGCGAGUGGCGAACGGGUGAGUAAUGCAUCGGAACGUGCCCAGUAGUGGGGGAUAGCCCGGCGAAAGCCGGAUUAAUACCGCAUACGACCUGCGGGUGAAAGCGGGGGACCGAAAGGCCUCGCGCUCUUGGAGCGGCCGAUGUCGGAUUAGCUAGUUGGUGGGGUAAAGGCUUACCAAGGCGACGAUCCGUAGCUGGUCUGAGAGGACGACCAGCCACACUGGGACUGAGACACGGCCCAGACUCCUACGGGAGGCAGCAGUGGGGAAUUUUGGACAAUGGGGGCAACCCUGAUCCAGCCAUGCCGCGUGCGGGAAGAAGGCCUUCGGGUUGUAAACCGCUUUUGUUCGGCAAGAAAUCCUCUGGGCUAAUACCCCGGGGGGAUGACGGUACCGGAAGAAUAAGCACCGGCUAACUACGUG
rnacentral:rRNA from 1 species